rnacentral:rRNA from 1 species
UACGGAGGGGGCUAGCGUUGUUCGGAAUUACUGGGCGUAAAGCGCACGUAGGCGGCUUUGUAAGUUAGAGGUGAAAGCCCGGGGCUCAACUCCGGAAUUGCCUUUAAGACUGCAUCGCUAGAAUUGUGGAGAGGUAAGUGGAAUUCCGAGUGUAGAGGUGAAAUUCGUAGAGAUGCGGAGGAACACCGAUGGCGAAGGCAGCCCCCUGGGUCCGACACUGACGCUCAGGCACGAAAGCGUGGGGAGCAAACGAGG